AGUGAACGCUGGCGGUAGGCCUAACACAUGCAAGUCGAACGGCAGCACAGGAGAGCUUGCUCUCUGGGUGGCGAGUGGUGGACGGGUGAGGAAUACAUCGGAAUCUACUUUUUCGUGGGGGAUAACGUAGGGAAACUUACGCUAAUACCGCAUACGACCUACGGGUGAAAGCAGGGGACCUUCGGGCCUUGCGCGAUUGAAUGAGCCGAUGUCGGAUUAGCUAGUUGGCGGGGUAAAGGCCCACCAAGGCGACGAUCCGUAGCUGGUCUGAGAGGAUGAUCAGCCACACUGGAACAGAGACACGGUCCAGACUCCUACGGGAGGCAGCAGUGGGGAAUAUUGGACAAUGGGCGCAAGCCUGAUCCAGCCAUACCGCGUGGGUGAAGAAGGCCUUCGGGUUGUAAAGCCCUUUUGUUGGGAAAGAAAUCCAGCUGGCUAAUACCCGGUUGGGAUGACGGUACCCAAAGAAUAAGCACCGGCUAACUUCGUGCCAGCCGCCGCGGUAA
rnacentral:rRNA from 1 species